rnacentral:lncRNA from 1 species
UUUUCCAUAGACUGUAUUUCCAGUUGUUGCUCAGCAUUUGGACUUCUCCUUGAAAGAAUCACCACAGAGCCACCCCCCUUUUGGGCAAUAAAUCUGACUGUUUCGAAGCCAAGGCCAGAGAGUCCUCCUGACACAAUAUACACUGCAUUUGACUUAAAAAGUUUCUUUUCUGCUGCAUUCUUAGGUUCCACAUUUUAGGAAGAACAUUGAUGAUCAUCCAGAGGAAGAUAUCCAGGAGGGUGAAGAGUCUCAAAAAUCAUGCUGAAUCGUGGGAAAAAAGACUUGGGAAAGGGGUCUAUCGUUUCAUCCUUAUGGCUACCUCCUCCCCUGAGACUGAUUACCACACUUCUACCAUUUAGUGGAUGGCUUCAUAUGGCUGCGAUAGCUGCUUGGACAGCCUUCAAAUACAAUGGCUACAAUGCUCAAUAGAAAUGAGAUUCUGGACAUUAAAUGAGAAGAAUUGUGCUAGGUAAAAACAUUGUUGACUUUUGUCAUUAUUGCUACCAUACUCACCCCCUGGAAAGUUGCAGCCAAUUCCUACAAUUGCAAUUGUGUCAUCUGUCUCCAUCAUUCCUCACAUUCACUUGAUAUCUGCAAAAACAAAUGGAGAGUACAAUACACCAGAAGCUGUAUUUUAAAGGCAGUGUGGUAUAAUUGUGCAUAGGAUUUGGGGUAGGAGAUGCAGUUUCCAGUCCUGCCUUUGUUCCUUAUGUCUAGGCAUGAUAAUCUCUAAGAUCCUUUUAAAUUCCAAGUCCUGUU